GCAGUGGGGAAUAUUGGACAAUGGGGGCAACCCUGAUCCAGCCAUGCCGCGUGUGUGAAGAAGGCCUUUUGGUUGUAAAGCACUUUAAGCGAGGAGGAGGCUACCCUGACUAAUACUCAGGAGUAGUGGACGUUACUCGCAGAAUAAGCACCGGCUAACUCUGUGCCAGCAGCCGCGGUAAUACAGAGGGUGCGAGCGUUAAUCGGAAUUACUGGGCGUAAAGCGCGCGUAGGCGGUUUGUUAAGUCGGAUGUGAAAUCCCCGGGCUCAACCUGGGAAUUGCAUUCGAUACUGGCAAGCUAGAGUAUGGGAGAGGAAGGUAGAAUUCCAGGUGUAGCGGUGAAAUGCGUAGAGAUCUGGAGGAAUACCGAUGGCGAAGGCAGCCUUCUGGCCUAAUACUGACGCUGAGGUGCGAAAGCAUGGGGAGCAAACAGGAUUAGA
rnacentral:rRNA from 1 species